rnacentral:rRNA from 1 species
UACAGAGGUCUCAAGCGUUGUUCGGAAUCACUGGGCGUAAAGGGUGCGUAGGUGGCGUGGCAAGUCAGAUGUGAAAGCCCGGGCUCAACCUCGGAAUUGCAUCCGAUACUGCCAUGCUGGAGUACUGAAGAGGUGACUAGAAUUCUCGGUGUAGCAGUGAAAUGCGUAGAUAUCGAGAGGAAUACCAAAGGCGAAGGCAGGUCACUGGGCAGUUACUGACACUGAGGCACGAAGGCCAGGGGAGCAAACGGG